rnacentral:rRNA from 1 species
GGAUUGUAGUCUGNAACCCGACUACACGAAGCUGGAAUCGCUAGUAAUCGCGAAUCAGAAUGUCGCGGUGAAUACGUUCCCGGGUCUUGUACACACCGCCCGUCACACCAUGGGAGUCGGAAAUGCCCAAAGUCAGUGACCUAACCGAAAGGGAGGAGCUGCCGAAGGUGGAGCCGGUAACUGGGGUGAAGUCGUAACAAGGUAGC